UAGAAAACAUAAACUUCUGGAAAAUACUAUGAGAAGCAACUCAAUAUUGAUAUAUGUAACCGGCUAUUUUGUCAGUUUUCAUUUGUGGCCUGGUCUUGAUUUGCCAGCAAAGUGCACAUGUAUUUGUAAGUCAUUAGGCAAAGCCAAAGGUCCUCUGCAGCAUUAUCAACAUGGGCAUUGGGAGGCCAAAGAUGCCAGAGUAAAACACGAGUUGGUUGCUGUUGUCUGCUUUUUGCUGGGACAUGCUAUUUGCUCAAACAAACACACAUCCUGGCACUGGCCCUGUCCCUGGCCCUGGCUCUGGGCCCUGUGCAUGUCUUGACAAUUUGCGCCGUGGUUGAGCUGCCCUGCGGCUCCGUCUGCGGCUGUUGCUUUCCCUUGUUGCUAGGUGUAGUGUUUGGCUUGGAAAAUGUGGCUGCUGAUGCGUAUCGUGAUGCUGGCACUUACAAACAAACGGACAGCUGCUUGGGGAGGCCCCACACGCACACACAUGUUAAGCAUCAGAACAGGCCACAGAAUCAAUAUGCAUAUAGAUUUGUUGGGGGACUGCAGUGGGUUAGUAUCGAGGUAGUUUUUGCGCCUUUUCUUUUUGACACUAUUUUUGGACGCAGCUGUUGGGACAACAUUUGCAUAAAGCAGCGAUUGGCAGGUGCCAUCACAAUCAGCCGUAACAUUUACUGAGUACAUGCCACAUAUACAUAUGCGUAUCGUGUGGCCCAGACCUAAUUAUAUACGUUGCGUCGCUGUUCAGUUGAAAUUGAGAGAGAGACACCUAAUAAAUCCCAGUGCUGCAUCAGCGCAAAGUCCCAAAUCCAAUAAGUAAAUCCGUAAGCCAAAGCGAAAGCGAACAAAAAAUAGGGAAAAUAAGAAAGAAGACAAAUAAAAUGUUGUAGCAAAUGAGCUGCCUUGGCGUCAAUUUCCAGCGCAACACGCACACAUACAUACAGAGAUGCACACUCGCACACACACAAAGCCAGAUCCCCACGAACAUCAUAAUAAUAAGCCUUGGGAAUACGUAUAAAGUGUGAAAAAUAUGUAUGAAUGCAGCAGGCUAAAAUUAUUCGCUUAAGAAAUACGCUAUAAUAAUAAUAAUGUAAAUGCAAGAGAGAGAGAGAGAGAAAGAGAGAGAGAGAGAGAGAGAGAGAGAGAGAGAGAGAGUGAGAGAGCCCCUCUCUCGGAGAUGCUCUUGUAUGCUUGAAGGAUCCUUAUAAUAUUAGUUCUUGCAACUAAAAUUGAAAGAUAGUCUGUAACAAGAAGUAGAUUUUGUAGAUAAAAUUAAAGCUUUCUAAGUGAAUAUAAGAAAUACCCUUAAAGUAUUAGAGGCCAUAGAGUUAUUGAGCUUUGAGAGCUCUUGGCUGAAUACGCUUUGGACUACUGAGAGGACUUUCACAAGGUAUAUAAGCGAACAAUAUGUGCAACGUAAUAUGAUGCGACAACAGAAAAAAGCCACUUGGCUCCUGAUGUGAUUAAAAGUAAUUAAAAUGCGGCCUGUUUUUGAUGAAUUACUGUAAGCCGCUGACAAACUCAAAUAUGAUUAAUUAAUGGUGCGCGUGUGUGUCUCUGACUGUGCGUGUGUGUUUGCAAGUGUAUGUUCUUUUGUUUGAUAUUAAAUGAAAGUGGGCAUGUAACGCAAUAAGGACAUACAUAUUUGUGAUAAGUAGACGCCAGAAGUACUUUGUCUACAAAGCCUUAAUUGCGUCAUUACUCGUGGAUAUCUAUAUGUAUGUGCAUAUACAUGUGAAUAUUAAUUCAUUUGCAUUUGUAUAUAAUCCGUUGCCAGCCUGCAGCUUACAUUAUUCAAUUGCAUGUGAUUAAAUGUCUCAAAUGUUGCAAUGUUUGGAAUAUUAUAUAAAUGAAAUUACUUGUUAGUAAAGGUUAUUGUAGCUGCGA